rnacentral:rRNA from 1 species
UGGCGACCGGCGCACGGGUGCGUAACGCGUAUGCAACCUACCUUUAACAGGGGGGUAACACUGAGAAAUUGGUACUAAUACCCCAUAAUAUCAUAGAAGGCAUCUUUUAUGGUUGAAAAUUCCGAUGGUUAGAGAUGGGCAUGCGUUGUAUUAGCUAGUUGGUGGGGUAACGGCUCACCAAGGCGACGAUACAUAGGGGGACUGAGAGGUUAACCCCCCACACUGGUACUGAGACACGGACCAG